rnacentral:rRNA from 1 species
AGAGUUUGAUCCUGGCUCAGGGAUGAACGCUGGCGGCGUGCCUAAUACAUGCAAGUCGAGCGGCAGCACGGUCUUCGGACUGGUGGCGAGCGGCGGACGGCUGAGUAACGCGUAGGAAUAUACCCCAAAGUGAGGGAUAACUGCCCGAAAGGGUGGCUAAUACCGCAUGUGGUCUUCGGACUAAAGCCUUCGGGCGCUUUGGGAAUAGCCUGCGUAAGAUUAGCUAGUUGGUGAGGUAAUGGCUCACCAAGGCGACGAUCUUUAGCUGGUCUGAGAGGAUGACCAGCCAGACUGGAACUGAGACACGGUCCAGACUCCUACGGGAGGCAGCAGUAGGGAAUUUUCCACAAUGGGCGAAAGCCUGAUGGAGCAACGCCGCGUGCAGGAUGAAGGCCCUCGGGUCGUAAACUGCUUUUAUGUGCGAAGAAUAUGACGGUAACACAUGAAUAAGGGUCGGCUAACUACGUG